rnacentral:rRNA from 1 species
AGAGUUCGUAUCCUGGCUCAGGACGACGCUGGCGGCGUGCUUAACACAUGCAAGUCGACGGAAGGCCCUGCUUUUGUGGGUGCUCGAGUGGCGAACGGGUGAGUAACACGUGAGUAACCUGCCCUUGACUUUGGGAUAACUUCAGGAAACUGGGGCUAAUACCGGAUAGGAGCUCCUGCUGCAUGGUGGGGGUUGGAAAGUUUCGGCGGUUGGGGAUGGACUCGCGGCUUAUCAGCUUGUUGGUGGGAUAGUGGCUUACCAAGGCUUUGACGGGUAGCCGGCCUGAGAGGGUGACCGGCCACAUUGGGACUGAGAUACGGCCCAGACUCCUACGGGAGGCAGCAGUGGGGAAUAUUGCACAAUGGGCGGAAGCCUGAUGCAGCAACGCCGCGUGCGGGAUGACGGCCUUCGGGUUGUAAACCGCUUCCGCCUGUGACGAAGCGUGAGUGACGGUAAUGGGUAAAGAAGCACCGGCUAACUACGUG